CACAUUUCAUUUCACAAAAUAGAACUCAUAUAACCAUCUCAACAUUCAGUAUUAUUCUUUCCAAUCAUAAAUGUUUCCCAGAUAUAUCACAUUAUAGACAACCAAGAUUCAUGGACUAAAUGAGCUACUCAAGUAAAUUAACGCAUCAAAAGACCAAAUUAAAAUUCACUAAUGAACUAACAUGUAGUAUAAAAAAGGAAAGUAAGACAAACUAUAAAAUAAAUAUUCUGAGAAGAGAUACAAGACAAUCACCUUUCACUUCAGAAACUAGCUGCAUAGAAUCUUCUGCUACAGACAUCAGGUGCUGAUAGCCUGGAUAACCAUCAACAUAUAAGAUUUCAUCUAACUGCCUAAACAUUCCUUGAUCAUUCCCCUUC
rnacentral:lncRNA from 1 species